rnacentral:misc_RNA from 1 species
GAAAUGCGAUAAGUAAUGUGAAUUGCAGAAUUCAGUGAAUCAUCGAAUCUUUGAACGCACAUUGCGCCCGGCAGUAUUCUGCCGGGCAUGCCUGUCCGAGCGUCAUUUCAACCCUCGGGACCCCUUGCGGGAUCUGGCGUUGGGGAUCAGCCCGAAGCCCCCCGGGGCGGGCGGCUGGCCCCGAAAUCUAGUGGCGGUCCCCCCAGCGACCUCCUCUGCGCAGUAGUAACUCACCUCGCAGCUGGACAGCGGGAGGGCCACGCCGUAAAACCCCCAACUUCUCAAAGGUUGACCUCGGAUCAGGUAGGAAUACCCGCUGAACUUAAGC